GACGGAGCACGCCUUCCACACCCACUCGGGACUGGCCUCUGCCUCGUUUGCUGUGCCCGACGAAGGCCGGCACAAGGCGGUUCCAGGGAGAGAAAUCAAGUUCCGCUGUGGGAAAGAGGAAGCAAAACAGGACAGACCCGGCGAGCACCUGCGAUCCCAGCCACCCCGGGGCGCCCGCCAUCGGCCGCCACAGAUCAAUUCCACCGCUUUGCCAGACGCGGCCAGGUACACGGGGGGGAGGGGGGGGGGCUGCAGGAAACAGCCCAGGAGCGAUCAGCCUGUGACACCACGAUGCCCUCCAAGACUGACCUGCGGCCUCCCGGAGCUCCGGAGGGAGCGCUGGCCGGCGGGCGGGGCUGGCCCAGCAGACCCCGGGGCAGAGGCACGAGCCCACCCUGAGGGUUGCUGGGACCAUGGGCACCAGACGGGCCGCCCUCCCCAGCUGGCCUGGGCAUCUGUGAUUCUAGAACACAGCCCGCUCCAUCAGACCGGCCUGCAAAGAUAGCCACGAGGCGCCCUGUACCGACAGUUCGGGGGAGGUGCCGAUAAGGAGGAAGGCAGAGCGGACCCCGCUGCCCACCGGCCGCGCAGGCAAAGGCGAGGUCGACCCAAGCGGGGAAUCCGGGAGGGGCCUGCCCUACCGCGAAAUAUUGACAGCAGUCAAUACAGACAGCAGGGAGGCCGGGCCUCCGGGCCGGAGGCCCUCUGGACUGAAAUCCUGGCUCUGCCAUUUCAGCCGUGUGACCUGCGGCAAGGGACUUCACGCCUCUGUGCUUCUGUUUCCCUCAGGAACCAGAGGCAACAGUCGCUGUUCGGACGCGAAACGAAAUGAUUUGAUACGUGCACACUUCAAAUGGCGUGUGCCAAAUACACUCAUUGCCUGUCAUCACCCCCCCACCUUUUAACUGAUGGCCAGAGGACAUUUGCCAAAGGGCACAAGGCCACCCAGGGGCAGGGCACGGCGUUCCUGAGGCUCUCCGGGUGGCUCUCGCUGAGGGCAGAAGGAGCAAACUAGAGUCUGGGUCCAAGUCCCGGGCGAGGGGAGAGCGCGAGGAAACACCCCAACCUCACGGCCCUGACCACCUCUCCGUCACCCACCGUACCACGAACCCACCGCUGCCCUGGCCCCCGGGGACGCUGCCGUGGGAGCGACAACGCGGCCCCUGCCCCAGCAGACGUCCACGCUCAUGAGGGCGAAAGAGGACACGCAAAUAAACACACAGCAUAACGGAGGCUACCUUCGGGGACGUGCGGGGCGAGCUACACAGAUAUCUCAGAGUGAGCCUUCCGGACAGAGAGGAGCACGAGCCAGAGACUCUGUGGUGGCACCAGCCUCGGCAGGCUCGAGGACAUCCAGGAGAUGUGCAAGGCAGGGGAGCUGCGGGGCCGAGAGCGGGUGAGGUGAGAGACGGAAGGAAGGCCAGACUGCACGGGCCUCUGGGCCACCGAGAGGACCUCGGUCUUCACUCAGAGUAACACAGGGAACCUUGCAGGGUUGUCAGCGAGGGGACGUAUGGUCUGCUGACUGUUUCAUCAGGAUCCCUCUGGCUGUCUAUGGAGACCAGAGAGGAGACUACUGCACCAGUCCAAGCAGCGGACGGAGAAGGCUUUCGUGGUGAUGUUGAGGAGUUGAAACACAGCUAGGUUUUGAAGAUAAAGCCAAUAGCAUCUGCUGAUAGACCAUAUCAGGCAUGACCCAAUAUUCUCAGCUCCGCGCUCGGGGAAAUGGAGGCGUCAUUUACCGAGAUGGAAAUACACACGGGGGAAGCCUUCAGCCUCAGCUGGAAAAACUCGUGCAUAAAGCACCUGAGACUGAUCCCAACCAGAAAACCAACUUAAAGACAGCAGAGGGGACUCAGCUCCCCUCUGGGAUGUGAAGAAGGCUAAGGGGCCCAGCAACACACACGGUGGUCCGGCAGACGAGCCCUUCCCACCACUGGGCCUUCCCCGUUGGACCAGAGACACCCGGAAAUGUACCCUUAGGGACCUUGACCGUGCAUUCCUCACCCAUGCAAACUUGGGACGACCGCGCAUGCCAGGGUCAGUUCUAGGCAGUGGAUACAAGCGUCCCCAUUCUCCUGGAGUUUUCUUCCAGGAUAUUUUCACACGUGUGCAUGCACACACACACACACACACACACACACGCAUCAGGCAAGGUCAGCUGGGGCAAAUUACUCCCCGAAGCUUCUGUUUCCCUAACUGUUGGUGAUGAGAAUGAGAAGUGUCACAGAAUUCCCCAGGACCAAACAAGAGGACAUUUACAAAGAUGGCCUGAAUACUGCCCGGCACUCGGUAAUUCACGAUCACGCCGUCCGGCCGAACGCCUCUUGUCCACUCCUGCCUGCCGCGGGGACGAAGGGACGAGUCUCACUUCCUUCCCUGGACCUCUCCCAGCGACCUCAAUCCACAGGGCUCCUCUGCCAUUUGCGUCUCUAAUUCAUUGAGCCAUUCUCUGGGGAAAGUUGUGGGUUCGUUACUAAUGUUUAAUAAAACACAUAAUACACGAA